rnacentral:lncRNA from 1 species
GCCUGUCUACACUCGCUGCUUUCCUUCCUCACCUCCAAUUUCCCCUCCAACCCACUGCUUCCUGACUCGCUCUUCUCCAUCGAACGGCUCUCGCUCAGGUUCCACGAGCUGCCCAUCUCCACAGAAGAGCAGCUGGCAUUGCCCACCGGCCAUGCCGGCUGAAGAAAAGAAGUCUGAGGACCCCAGGACGCCCAGCGCGAGGACCCCAGGAAGCCCAGCGCGAGGACCCCACCCACGACGCCCAGCGCGAGGACCUCACGCACAACCCUCCUGGAUUAGGCCAAAGCCAUCAUCUGGAAUCCUGCGUGGGACCCUGGACACACGGACACAGACACCUGCCCCCAGGACCCUCCAACUGUAAAUCCCUCCACAGCCACGGGGACGCCUUGCACAUUUCCUGUGGGACAUGCUGGACCCAAGACUCUGGACCCUGGCCUCCCCUUGAGUAGAGAGACCCACCUACUGACUGAUGAACUGUGCUGACCCUGGGGUCAGGCAUGUGGCCUUGAUCCCUACCCAUGGACCCUGAGACUUGGGGCGGGGGUGGGGGGAAAGGCUGUUGAGUCUUCACUGUUGAGUCCACAUCUGUGAAAUGGGCUCAGAUUCCUACCUCACAGGGCUGUUGUGAGGCAGCCGCGAUGUGCUUAGAAGCAUGGGGCCUGGUGGCUCAUGGUGCUUUCAAUAAAUUUCUUGUCUUAAC